GCUUUAGCGAUCCGGAGGUGCAGAGGAAGAAGAGGGUUGCCAGCUAUAAGGCUUACACGGUUGAAGGCAAAGUCAAAGGCUCUUUUAGGAGGAGUUUUCGAUGGAUUAAGGAUAGAUGCACUCUUCUCAUUCAUGGCUUCUGAGAAGUUGACUGAGAGAUUGAUUAUGGGAUUUCAAGAUAUGUUGAUUUGGUGCAUUUUGAUUGUAAUCAAGAAGAAUUCUUGAGGUUAUAUACAAUUGCAAGACAUUAGUUUGAUAAAAACCAAAAAAAAAAAAAAAAGUUGAGUUGAGUGCUGACUUAUUGGUUGGUUAUAAAAAUAAGUUGCGCGAUGUUAAUUACCAUUUCUGUGUUUUUAUGUUUUUUCAUCUUACUUACCAAGUUUGAUAGUAGCAGUUGAAUUUUUUGGCAAAAUGUAGAGUGAAUUAUAGGAUUCACUUGUAUUGGAGGAGGUGAAGAUAUGAUGAGCUUUUAGUCAUAAAGUGAUCACUUCAAAAGUUGAAAUACAAUUAGAAAUUCUUGGAAGGAGUAGGCAGAAGUUGAUAAAUUUUUAUGUUAUUAGUUUGAAGACGCAUAUACGUAUUCUAGAACCCCUGGCCUUCUGACUGACUUUUGCAUUUCUCGAGACUACACCACCAGACUUCUGAAGCUUCACUACAUCUACAUUAGCCUUUGCCUUUCAAAACAUCCCUAAGCAUGCUCCACAGCUUUUCCUGAACAAUCGUUCAAGUGCCGAAAAGAAGCAAGAAGAAAUUAUAUCACAAGUAAGACAUUGAUGUACAAGGCAAGGAACAUUUUCAGACAGCCCAAAAAAGAACACGUUCAAGAGGCACACUCAGACCAGCAAAAAACAGAUACCUGACCCAAAACCAGAACAACUGUGGCGUUGAAUGCAUCAAUUGCAUGCAGCAGCAACUGCCAAGGGGAGAAAAGGGUUAUAAAAUGACCAUGCUUGCAGCUCUAGAUUAUAAUUGAAAAAUUAUUAAAUCAAAUCAGAAGCAUUCUUGACAAUGUACUCUUUCCAGCAUCUGUAGGUCCUACCACAAGAUUACUAUUCCCUUGGGAAUUAACACAUUAAACAAAUGGCAUAAGAGCAGAACAUCUGGUGUUUUCUUCU